GAUGAACGCUGGCGGCGUGCCUAAUACAUGCAAGUCGAGCGAACAGACGAGGAGCUUGCUCCUCUGACGUUAGCGGCGGACGGGUGAGUAACACGUGGAUAACCUACCUAUAAGACUGGGAUAACUUCGGGAAACCGGAGCUAAUACCGGAUAAUAUAUUGAACCGCAUGGUUCAAUAGUGAAAGACGGUUUUGCUGUCACUUAUAGAUGGAUCCGCGCCGCAUUAGCUAGUUGGUAAGGUAACGGCUUACCAAGGCAACGAUGCGUAGCCGACCUGAGAGGGUGAUCGGCCACACUGGAACUGAGACAAGGUCCAGACUCCUACGGGAGGCAGCAGUAGGGAAUCUUCCGCAAUGGGCGAAAGCUUGACGGAGAAACGCCGCGUGAGUGAUGAAGGUCUUCGGAUCGUAAAACUCUGUUAUUAGGGAAGAACAAAUGUGUAAGUAACUAUGCACGUCUUGACGGUACCUAAUCAGAAAGCCACGGCUAACUACGUG
rnacentral:rRNA from 1 species